rnacentral:misc_RNA from 1 species
AACGCAAAUUGCACUCUCUUCGGAGAGUAUGCCUGUUUGAGGGUCAGUAUUAAUAAAAAUCGGCGUGUUGCUUUUUUGUGAUGCUCCGGAGUUUGGGUUAUCUUAUAACGAUACCUUUUGAGGUGUUUUUAAGAAACUUAAAAUUGACAUCAUUUUUGCGCAUUUUAGACGUACAUAAAUUUUUUUAUUUCGUUUAUUCUAAUGCCAAAAUCUAUUAGAUGCGACCAUAUCGUGUGGUUCCGUGUCUAUAAAUUUUUUCAUGAUUUGACCUCAAAUCAGGUAGGAACACCCGCUGAACUUAA